AGAGUUUGAUCCUGGCUCAGAUUGAACGCUGGCGGCGUGGCUAAAACAUGCAAGUCGAACGCGAAAGCGGGGGCAACUCCGCAAGUAGAGUGGCGAAAGGGCGAGUAAUACGUUUCUAACGUACCCCGAGGCCAGGGAUAGCCCGACGAAAGUCGGAUUAAUACCUGAUGGCCCGGCGAGACCGUAUGGUUUUGCCGGUAAAGGCUUGCCACCUCGGGAGCGGGGAACGUCCUAUCAGGUAGUUGGUAGGGUAAUGGCCUACCAAGCCUAAGACGGGUAGCCGGUGUGAGAGCACGGCCGGCCGCAUCGGGACUGAGACACUGCCCGGACUCCUACGGGAGGCUGCAGUAACGAAUAUUCCCCAAUGCCCGCAAGGGUGAGGGAGCGACGCCGCGUGGAGGAUGAAGCCCUUCGGGGUGUAAACUCCUGUCAGGGUUUAGGAACUCAUGACCAAACCCAGAGGAAGAGGCGACUAACUCUGUGCCAGCAGUCGCGGUAAUACUGAGGCCUCGAGCGUUAAUCGGAAUCACUGGGCUUAAAGGGUGCGUAGGCGGCGCUGCAAGUGCCUUGUGAAAUCCCAUGGCUCAACCAUGGAACUGCUUGGUAGACUGCAGCGCUUGAGGUCGGUAGGGGUCGCUGGAACUCUAGGUGGAGCGGUGAAAUGCGUAGAUAUCUAGAGGAACGCCAAAGGUGAAGACAGGCGACUGGGCCGAUUCUGACGCUGAGGCACGAAAGCGUGGGGAGCAAACGGGAUUAGAUACCCCGGUAGUCCACGCCCUAAACGAUGUCAACUAGACCCGGGAGGCACUGACGCCAUCCGGAUCGAAGCUAAAGUGCUAAGUUGACCGCCUGGGGAGUACGGUCGCAAGGCUAAAACUCAAAGGAAUUGACGGGGGCUCACACAAGCGGUGGAGCAUGUGGCUCAAUUCGACGCGAAGAACCUUAUCCUGGGCUUGACAUGUAUGGAUUAGCCUCCCGAAAGGGAGGUAACACCCGCAAGGGCGGAACAUACACAGGUGCUGCAUGGCUGUCGUCAGCUCGUGCUGUGAAGUGUCGGGUUAAGUCCCUCAACGAGUGAAACCCCUGUCGUUAGUUGCUAAGGCGCAAGCCAGGACUCUAACGAGACUGCCGGCGUCAAGCCGGAGGAAGGUGGGGAUGACGUCAAGUCCUCAUGGCCUUUAUGCCCAGGGCUGCACACGUGCUACAAUGGCACUUACAAAGCGACGCAAGACCGCAAGGUGGAGCAAAUCGCAUAAAAGGUGCCCCAGUUCAGAUUGGGGUCUGCAACUCGACCCCAUGAAGUUGGAAUCGCUAGUAAUCGCGGAUCAGCUACGCCGCUGUGAAUUUGUUCCUGAGCCUUGUACACACCGCCCGUCAAGCCAUGGGAGCCGGGAAUACCCGAAGUCGUCUCGA
rnacentral:rRNA from 1 species